GUGCAGGCUCGUAAACUAGUAAAUAUUAUCUCCCAUAAUAGGGAGCUAGCUCAUCUGAUUUUAAGAGCGAGUCUAUCCGCCUAGUAUGAAGCAUUCAAGUUCUCAGCUGAUCCGUCUCAUUCAUUAUUUGAUUCAUACAAAUAUGUGAUGGCAGUCGAUAGCCAGAUGUGUGGAUACCCAAAAGCCAGGUGGUGCUGGUUUUAAAAUGCAAAUCCUCUGAAGCUGAAAGUGCCAGCACUCCCAAGAGGGGUCAAAGUCACUCGGAAGAUAAUAAAAUCAAAGGAAUUUUGAAUACUUUGGGUUAAAGCUUUGCAUGUUUUGUUUUUUUAAUUUGCAAUUAAAUUUUUGUUAUAAGAUGAAAUAUUA